rnacentral:lncRNA from 1 species
GUCCCCAUUGCCCCCGCCUCAGUGCCGCCGCCUCGCCGCCGACAGCCCCAUCGGCCCCGCCUCGGUCCCGCCCCUUGUCCUCGAUGGCCCCGUCGCUCCCGCGUGGUUGCCCUCGCAUCGGUGCCGACGCCUGGAGACCGCCGACGUCCCCGUCGCCCCCACGUCGGUGCCGCCUCCUGGCAGGGAGACGGCAGUGACGGUGACACCAGCGCGGUCGGUGGCGUCGUUCUACUCGUCGGCGAAACUGAGGACGAUGCGGCCGACGAAGGUGGUGUCCGUGGCUAGCAUCCGGCGUUGUUUCAAAUUCGUUGCUUUGCUUCGAAUUUUCUACGACAUUCAUGUCGUCGUUGUUUGUCCGUGCUUGGUGUAAUGGUGCUACUGCUUGGUUUGCUGUGAUGUGAAAUGGAACAAAUGCUUGGUUUGCUUGGUUUGAUGUCGUUCGUCCGUGCUUUUGUCAUGUGCGAUGCUGUGGUUUUCUUCCUUUGUUGUUUUGCUGUCUUGUUGUUGGGAGAUUUGUCCCUUCUCCUCUCACAGCGACGAAGAAGGUAGAGCAGAGCGGCGG